rnacentral:rRNA from 1 species
CCUACGGGAGGCAGCAGUGGGGGAUAUUGCACAAUGGGGGAAACCCUGAUGCAGCAACGCCGCGUGAGUGACGAAGGUCUUCGGAUUGUAAAACUCUGUUCUUGGUGAAGAUAAUGACGGUAGCCAAGGAGAAAGCUCCGGCUAACUACGUGCCAGCAGCCGCGGUAAUACGUAGGGAGCGAGCGUUGUCCGGAAUUACUGGGUGUAAAGGGUGCGUAGGCGGCCUUGCAAGUCAGGCGUGAAAACCAUGGGCUCAACCCGUGGACUGCGUUUGAAACUGUGAGGCUUGAGUGAAGUAGAGGUAGGCGGAAUUCCCGGUGUAGCGGUGAAAUGCGUAGAGAUCGGGAGGAACACCAGUGGCGAAGGCGGCCUACUGGGCUUUAACUGACGCUGAGGCACGAAAGCAUGGGUAGCAAACAGGAUUAGAUACCCGAGUAGUC